UUUUAAUAUAUCUAGUUUUUUAAGAAAUAAAUUUAAUUUAGUUAAUUAAUUUUAAUAAUUUAAUUUUUAAUGUUAUUAUAAUUAAUUAAUAAUAUUUUAAGGGAUGAGCUUUAAAAUAAAAUUUUAUAAAUAAUUAUAAUUAAAAAUAAUUGUAGGCUUAGAAUUAGCUAUCAAUAGAAAUUAUGUUUUAAUUUAUUUUGUUUUUAAUAUUAUUUAAUAUUUAUUUUAAAUUUUUUAUUAAAAUAUAAAUUUUAAUUUAUUAAAUUUAUUAAUAAUGAUAAAAUUAGUAAAUAUAUUUAAUUUUAUAAAUAAAUCUAAUUUGAUUGGUUUUUAUAAUUAAUUCGGCAAAUUUUGUGUUCACCUGUUUAUCAAAAACAUGUCUUUUUGGUUAUUUAAUAUAAAGUCUGACCUGCCCACUGAAUAUAGUUUUAAAGGGCCGCAGUAUUUUGACUGUGCAAAGGUAGCAUAAUCAUUAGUCUUUUAAUUGAAGGCUGGUAUGAAUGGUUGGAUGAGGUACAAGCUGUGUCAUAAAAAUUAAUAUUUGAAUUUACCUUUUUAGUCAAAAGGCUAAAAUUUUAUUAAAAGACGAGAAGACCCUAUAGAGCUUUAUAUAAUUAAUAUUUAGAUUAUUAAUAUUUUUUAAAUUUAAUUAUUUUAUUAUAUUUUGUUGGGGUGACAAUAAAAUUUAUAAAACUUUUAUUAUUAUUAUUCAUUAAUUUAUGUUUAAAUGAUCCAAUUUUAUUGAUUAUAAAUUUAAGUUACCUUAGGGAUAACAGCGUAAUUUUUUUUGAGAGUUCUUAUCGACAAAAAAGAUUGCGACCUCGAUGUUGGAUUAAGAGUAAUUUUGGGUGUAGAAGUUCAAAAUUUAAGUCUGUUCGACUUUUAAAUUCUUACAU
rnacentral:rRNA from 1 species